rnacentral:rRNA from 1 species
GGGGAAUAUUCCGCAAUGGGCGAAAGCCUGACGGAGCAACGCCGCGUGAGGGAGGACUGUCUUUGGAUUGUAAACCUCUUUUCUCAAGGAAGAUAAUGACGGUACUUGAGGAAUCAGCAUCGGCUAACUCCGUGCCAGCAGCCGCGGUAAUACGGGGGAUGCAAGCGUUAUCCGGAAUUAUUGGGCGUAAAGCGUCCGUAGGCGGCUAGAUAAGUCUGCUGUUAAAGCGUGCAGCUUAACUGCAUAUCGGCAGUGGAAACUAUUUAGCUAGAGUGUGGUAGGGGUAGAGGGAAUUCCCGGUGUAGCGGUGAAAUGCGUAGAUAUCGGGAAGAACACCAGUGGCGAAAGCGCUCUGCUGGGCCACAACUGACGCUGAUGGACGAAAGCUAGGGGAGCGAAAGGGAUUAGAUACCCCUGUAGUC